AACGAACGCUGGCGGCGUGCCUAACACAUGCAAGUCGAACGGAGAUAAGGGGCUUGCUCCUUAUUUUAGUGGCGCACGGGUGAGUAACACGUGGAUAAUCUACCCGAUGAUCUGGGAUAACAUUUCGAAAGGGAUGCUAAUACCGGAUAAGCCCACGAUGUCUUCGGACAAUGUGGGAAAAGGUGGGGACGGUUUCGGCCCUCGCCUUUUGAUAAGCCCGCGUCCCAUUAGCUAGUUGGUAGUGUAAUGGACUACCAAGGCUAUGAUGGGUAGCUGGUCUGAGAGGAUGAUCAGUCACACUGGAACUGAGACACGGUCCAGACUCCUACGGGAGGCAGCAGUGGGGAAUAUUGCGCCAUGGGCGAAAGCCUGACGCAGCAACGCCGCCUGGGUGAUGAAGGCUCUCGGGUCGUAAAUCCCUGUCAGAGGGAAUAACAACCUGUCGUUUAAUAUGCGGCAGGCCUGACGGUACCCUCAGAGGAAGCACCGGCUAACUCCGUGCCAGCAGCCGCGGUAAUACGGAGGGUGCAAGCGUUGUUCGGAAUUAUUGGGCGUAAAGCGCGUGUAGGCGGUUGUCUAAGUCUGAUGUGAAAGCCCCGGGCUUAACCUGGGAAGUGCAUUGGAAACUGAAAGACUUGAGUACGGGAGAGGAAAGCGGAAUUUCGAGUGUAGGGGUGAAAUCCGUAGAUAUUCGAAGGAACACCAGUGGCGAAGGCGGCUUUCUGGACCGAUACUGACGCUGAGACGCGAGAGCGUGGGGAGCAAACAGGAUUAGAUACCCUGGUAGUCCACGCCGUAAACGAUGGGCACUAGUUGUAGCGGGUAUUGACCCCUGCUGUGACGAAGCUAACGCAUUAAGUGCCCCGCCUGGGGAGUACGGCCGCAAGGCUAAAACUCAAAGGAAUUGACGGGGGCCCGCACAAGCGGUGGAGCAUGUGGUUUAAUUCGACGAAACGCGAAGAACCUUAACUGGGCUUGACAUCCCGAUCGUACCUUAUGGAAACACUAGGGUCAUUGAGAGAAUUUGGUGACAGGUGCGGCAUGGCUGUCGUCAUCUCGGUUCUUGAGAUGUUGGGUUAAGUCCCUCAACGAGCGCAACCCUCGCCAUUAGUUGCCAGCAUUAAGUUGGGCACUCUAAUGGGACUGCCGGUGUCAAACCGGAGGAAGGCGGGGAUGACGUCAAGUCCUCAUGGCCUUUAUGACCAGGGCUACACACGUACUACAAUGGCCGGUACAACGGGCAGCCACUUCGCGAGAAGGAGCAAAUCCCUAAAAGCCGGUCUCAGUCCGGAGUGGAGUCGGCAACGCGACGCCAUGAAGGUGGAAUCGCUAGUAAUCGUGGAUCAGCAUGCCGCGGUGAAUACGUUCCCGGGCCUUGUACACACCGCCCGUCACACCACGGGAGUUGGUUGUACCAGAAGCGGUUGAGCUAACCUUCGGGAGGCAGGCCGCCAAGGUAUGGCUGGUAACUGGGGUGAAGUGGUG
rnacentral:rRNA from 1 species